UGUCAUCAGUAAGGUAACUUGAAAUGUAGAAGCCAUGAAUUGCUUCUGUGUUUCCAUGGCUAUACAUGCAGUCACAGUAAAUCCAUGAACCACAGUGCUGUCAGCUACAUCCCUUAGAAGACACUUUCAAGAAAGACAGAGGAAGAAGAGAAGGAACUUCAGGUUUGGCUGCAGGCUUGGCCAACCACACCACUUGCCCAUGGAAAUGCUCUGAACCUCAAGCAGCAAGCUCCUUCUGCACCAGGAGCUCCAACUGUGGGAGCCAGCAAGGUGAGGAAACCUGGGGGCAGGGAUGUGGGGUACUGCACCCACAGGGUGACUUCUCCCUUCUUUGCUUGGAGUUCAUCAUUUUUCCAGUUCUUCAAGAUGAGCUAGGAUCAGCUGAGAAGGAAAAACUGAUGUGCGUGUUUCUGUUGCUGCUCAGAAGUUACAGUAGUAAAUAAAAUAUAAGAUUCCCUGUUUUAGGCCAACUAGUUGGAAGCAUAAGAAUCUAAAUUAUAUAUUUUUUUUCAAUUUUACUGAAAAAUA
rnacentral:lncRNA from 1 species